AUGAUCACAGAUAAUAGUUUUGAUGUACUCUGCUUGACUGAAACCUGGCUAAAACCAAAUGAUUAUAUUGGUCUACAUGAGUCUACUCCAUCAAACUACUGUUAUAAACAUGAGCCCCGUCAGACUGGUUGUGAGGGAGGUGUUGCAACAAUAUAUAGUGAUAUUCUUAGUGUUACCCAGAAAACAGGAUACAGGUUUAAAUCAUUUGAAAUACUUAUGCUUAAUGUUACACUGUCAGAUAUGCAAAAGAAAUCUAUCGUAUCUCUUUCUCUGGCUACUGUGUAUAGACCACCAGGGCCAUAUACAGAAUUCCUAAAAGAAUUUGGAGAUUUCCUCUCAGACCUGUUGGUUACCGCUGAUAAAGCGCUAAUUUUCGGAGAUUUUAACAUUCAUAUUGAUAAUACAAAUGAUGCAUUAGGACUUGCGUUUACUAACUUAUUAAACUGUUUUGGAGUAAAGCAAAAUGUCACCGGGCCCACUCAUCGUUUUAAUCAUACGCUAGACUUAAUUAUAUCGCAUGGAAUCGAUAUUACUGACAUAGAUAUCGUACCUCAAAGUGAUGAUGUUACUGACCAUUUCCUUGUAUCGUGCAUUCUGCGUAUUAAUAAUAAUAACUAUAUAGCUUCGCGUUAUCGUCCGGGCAGAACUAUUGUUCCAGCCACCAAAGACAGAUUCGCAAAUAACCUGCCUGAUUUAUCUCAACUGCUCUGUGUACCCAUAAAUACACAUGAACUAGACAAAAUGACUGGCAAUAUGGGCACUAUCUUCUCUAAUACAUUAGAAGCUGUUGCCCCCAUCAAAUUGAAAAAGGUUAGAGAAAAACGUACUGUGCCAUGGUACAACAGUAAUACCCACGCUCUCAAGAAAGAAACUCGUAGUCUUGAGCGCAAAUGGAGAAAAACUAACUUGGAAGUUUUUAGAAUUGCGUGGAAAAACAGUAUGUCCAGCUAUAGACAGGCUCUAAAAACUGCCAGGGCUGAGCAAAUCCAUAGAAACUCAUAG
ensembl:lncRNA